GAGAUAUUGCUCCACAUUUGGAGGUGUAUUUGCUCAGCCAGAAAGUGCAGAUAUCAACAACUAUCUGAAGUCACUAACUGACAAGACAACAUGGUUGUGGAUUGGGGCAAGUAAUUUACCCGACAUAAAGACCUGGAAAUGGCACAACCCGCUUAAGCCUAUAAAGUUUUCCGACUAGCAAAGCACUCAACCUAGGCAUCCUAAUGUUGAGCAUUGUAUGGUUUACUGGAAAUCCAACGAAGGCUUCAAAUGGGGCGACUUGAGCUGUAAUAGUAAAAGAGGAUUUCUAUGUCAAAGGACAAAAGUAUCAGAAAAGGACAGCGACUGUAGUGACAAGAAACCAGUUAAUCAGAAAUUCAUGACAAUCUGUCUUUAAAUUAAAACAAAUCAUGA